UACGGAGGGAGCUAGCGUUGUUCGGAAUUACUGGGCGUAAAGCGCACGUAGGCGGCUUUGUAAGUUAGAGGUGAAAGCCCGGGGCUCAACUCCGGAACUGCCUUUAAGACUGCAUCGCUUGAAUCCAGGAGAGGUGAGUGGAAUUCCGAGUGUAGAGGUGAAACUCGUAGAUAUUCGGAAGAACACCAGUGGCGAAGGCGGCUCACUGGACUGGUAUUGACGCUGAGGUGCGAAAGCGUGGGGAGCAAACAGG
rnacentral:rRNA from 1 species